rnacentral:lncRNA from 1 species
CUGACCCGUUACAAGCCUCAGUGUUACUGAGAUGAGAGAAAGCAAAGCUCCUGCAGACACAGAGGCAUACUUCAGCCUGGUCCAGGACCAAAUCUCCUCUUAGCAUUAAUAAUACAUCAGUGGCUUUGGCGGGGGCAUGGUGACAUCAGUGUGGUACAUCUCUUGGGGAAAGACAAUCCAUCAGCGUUGGGGUGUUACUUCUGCUGCCUUCGGACCGAUAACCCAGCUGGUGCUUCACGAGACGUGUCAAUGUGAGGCCGUGUGUGUGGCUGUGCAAAGAGGAAUGGCAUCUUGAAAAUCAUCUUGAUAAAUACCUGCCGUCGGAGGCUGAGCCCUCCGCUGACAUAAAUAAGGUGCUCCCGUGCCGGAGCGGAGCUGCAGCGAUGUGACCCAGAAUCCUGUUGCAGGGUUGGGAUCGUUCCCAGCACAGUCCUGUGCUUCAAUCUUCUGCGUGACAUCAGAUAAGUAAACACCAAGAUUUGAUGUGAGAACAUAUGUCCAUUGCAUAAUUCAUUAGCAUUCUUCUCUGGAAUUACUUUUAGAUAUAUGUACUUAGAUCAGAAUUAGUGGGUGAGGGUUAUUCUGGGGAAAAAAGAAGCUAUGGCAGCUUUCAGAAAUGGGUGCUUCUCCUGGGACUGAAGGCAAGUUUGGCCAUUCAUUGUGUUUGCUUCUUAAACGAUUAUUUUGGUCGUGUAGAUUCAUUUCCUGCAAUUUGGGUGUGAGGUGGUGGAAGAACAGUGGCACAGAAACCCUCAGCUUAGCACUGCUGCUAAGUGCACUGCUCAGAAAAUAUAAUUAUCAUCUCGACCAAUUUCAUAGCUGUGUAACUCCAUCGCCUUGAGUAUAGUCGUUCCUGAUUGCCAAACACAAGAAACAUUCAAAACUAUUUACCUUCUGUUUUGCAACGUACCCGCUCCAUGUUUGUACUGCUUAGCAGGCAAAGUCAAUUGUUAGCCUGCCCAGGCUGUGCAGAUGUACGGUAACAGCAAAUCAUCGCAGCGCUUACAGCUUGUUCUCUUGUGUCAGCAAGAAAAUUGGAAGCAUGUUCAGCUUCUGUGGGACGCCUGGGAUGUGCGUUGUUCUCUAACGAAGCCAUUGCAUGCACCCUUUUCCUUGCCUCAUUUCAUCUUGACAUGCAGUGCAGCCAAUGGCUCUGGGGGUUGUUUUGCUGUAGGAAUGUUUGGGGGGAAAAAAAACCAAACCCAUCCCAAAACAGUACUGUACAGUAUGAGUCACUGAGGAGAAAUGGGAGGAGGAGUUAUUUUGAGGGCUUUUAUAUCUUCCUUAUUGCUAGGAGACUGCUUCCCCUGAGUGCAGCGCUCUCCGGGCUCCCAACAGCUGCCUUGUUUGCACUGAGGGCAAUUCACAGAGCAGCUUCGUAGUAGAGGAGAAACAAACCUGGAUGGAGCUCAUUGUCACUUCUCAUGCUUCUGAGACAAAUGCAGGAGUAAAUGGGAGACAGCUGCUAGUGCCAAGGACAGCAUUGUGCCCAAAAUGUCGGGGCUCUGGGGCUGAUCUCAGAGCUCUGCUCAGGUGCCAGGACAGCCACAGGCUGUUCUCUGCAAAGAGCCGUUCCAGGCCUGGGAUUCAGAGCAUGAGGAUGUGCUUUGCCCAUAGCUUUGCUGUUGCAAAAGCAAUACCUAAGUCCUGUAAGUCACGAACACCUGAAGGCUCCUCUGCCCUGGCUGGGUGUGUGGGGCUGGGGCAAAACAAUCCAUUGGGAGUGAACUGUCAGGAAAAUGAUGCUGAGACCAUCACUGGUAUUGCUGGUAUUGAUGGUGAUGGCUGCAGCUUUCCCACCCAGCGGGGGCCUGAGAGGGCAUGGCAGCGGGGUGAGCUGCCCACGGGCCUCCCAGCACUGGUGUUCUGUAAGGGGGAAUAUGUGGAGUGAAGUCCAGACUUCAUUUGUAAUGCACCCCUACUGCGAACUGUUUGCAGAGACUGGGUCUAGCAACAAGGGAGGUAAGGCUAUCAAUAUAUCAUUUUGCUCUGAAGUCGUGAGGCUGUUGCACAUUUUAUGUAAGCAAGUACUCAGUCACAUUAAUUUUAGGCAUCUGAGACUGUAUUUAUGAUGUACUAAAUCCAACUUUAUGUUCCUGGUAGCAAUCAGAGAUGUCAUGGUCCUCAGAGGUAAAGCACUGAAUGGGUACAAAUGCAGCCUGCUGGCUCAGGAAAUGUUGAUGGGUCAAUUCCAUGCAGCCAAGGCUUGGACUUCAUCAGGUUUUGUCCUCCUGUCUGUAAAUGGCGUGACUGGCAAAAGCAAUGGCAACGCAGGUCAGUAAUUUGUGCUUUGAUUUGACCAUGGAGUGACUGUAUAACUACCAGAUAAGGGCUACAUGUGCACUGCUAAGGAAGCCAGCAGUGAAAAUGCACUAUUGCCAAUCUAGCAUCCCAGGUCUGGUCUGUCCCUGAUGGCUGCUCCAUGAGCUCUGGUGGGAGUUUACACUGUGAGCUAUUGGUGCUCUGAGUUACACCAGAGGCAGAUCCUCAAAGCAGCCUUCAAGAGAAAGUGUGAACAGCAGCCAGAUAGCACACGUGACUCUGAGUUAUAAAAUUCUCAGUUCUGAAUAAAAAUUGUUUUCCGGGAACCACAGAUUUAAUAAUGCAGCUGAAGUAAUCUGAUUGUGUUUGGGAUUAUAAAUGGACAAAUCUCCUAGGGCUGUAGUCAUAAAGUCUAGGGAAAAAAAAAACAACAAAUCUAGUUAAUGAGAAUGUGUGAAUUUAUCAUCUAGAAGGGAGUUACGGAGACAACUGUACAAUAUCUCUUAUUGCAUCUUUCACGCUAAUGCCAGAUGGCUGGGAAUGGGAUCCCCCAUGUUCUCCUCCUUGUCUAAGAAGACAAGAAUAUAAACAAGGAAAGUGUCUGUGAUGGUAUUAUUUGGCUGCCUGGUAAGAUGAGUCAUUGCUUUUGAUCGCUUAAAUAAUUAGGACUGCUUUAUAAUUUGAUUACAGUGUUAUCUCUUUCUGCUCUGUAACCCCAGGUUUUGGGUUUCCAGCAGUAGCUCAUCCUUACCAAUAUUCCUCCUCACAUGCUGUCCUUUCCACGUCCCCAUUUAGUUCUGCCUCACAGAUCGCAAGCUCUCAAUCACCUUUUUACCUUCUCUUAGUUCAUGCUCUUCCCCUGUGCUAACUGCUUGUGACUAAUGCACAUUUUCGGGCCAAACAUCAGGUACCCUCAGCACUGUGCUGUGUAAAUAGACCAGCAGGUGUAAGCAGUACAUUAGAAAAGCUUUACUCGACAUAAAUUAGUACUUACAGGAGCCGUCCCUGCAUGUCCCAAAGGCAGGCCAGAUGGCCAGCGUUGGCGUGGGCUGGCCCCAGCCUCACCCCGGGGACUUCUCCUUGGUUUCUUCACACCAGUGGAGCAGUGUGGUCUGUAGCUAUGAAAGUUUCCAUUCUUAAUUUUAAUUUGCAGAAGCUGGGAGCCAUUUGCAAGCGCUGGCUCCAAUUAGGGAAUGCUGGCGCGUGGCGGCUGUGCAGGGUGAUAUUGGGAUGGUCUUCUCCCAAGGCGAGCUCUAGGCUUUUGUCUCUUGCCAUGACAACAAGGCUAUCAGUAGAUGAGGCUCUGAUAUGAGGUUACCAGCAAGCAGAGUGCAUUUGCCCACACACUUUUGAUCAGGGAUUGGUCCUUGUCGCUUCCUUGUCGCUGGCUGGACUUUGAAAGCGCCUUUGAUCCAGCUAUGCCAAAGAAAUGCAGUUGUUUGAAGUCUUUGAUCCUUUCUGUGGGCAGACUAGGCCCAGAGAUCUUGAUGGGCUAGAGCUGUUUCUGAGCAUUUCUUCCUUAUUAAGACUCAGCAUAAGCUGCAUAAAACUCUUUCCAUUGGCACGUCUGAGCAGACCCAGACCAGGUUGUUUUACACCAGUUGGUGGGUUGGAGUAGAAACCCAUCCCUCCAUCACUCUUGUCGUCUAUGGGACCAUCAUGUGAGUCACCAAGCUUCCCAGGCUCAGCUGCCUUCCAACCACAGGACAAGGUUGUGCCAGGAAUCACAGGAGACAAAACAUAGGGAGGGAACUUUCAGUGGUCAUUUUAAGGCAGAAAUUUUGUCAGAAUGAGAUAGAAAAUAGUGGGUUUGCUGAUAGGCACAGGUUGCUUGGGUGAGACAGGAGUGGGUACAGGUGUGGGUGCCCUCUGCUCAGGUUUUGUUCUGGAGGUGCUUGAUGUGCUGUACAAUCCCGUGCUCCAUGGCACUGGGGGGGGGUCCUGCUGUAUGCAUGCUCUGUGUCUGGAUGUUUAUUUUUAAGUGGAUAAUAUGCUGCCUUUCCUAUUCAGAGAGCGUACCAAAGCAAUUUUUGUUCCUUAGUGAAUACCAGAAAUAACUGGGUAAGUACAAAUAUAUCUCCUAGCAGCCUUGUUUGUGACCGAAGUGUGCACUGAGUCUUCUCACUACAUCAGGGCUGCAAAUAUUCGAGUCACAUUCGGAUGGCAAAGCCAACGGCACAUAGCUUUAAUUACAAUAUUUCUCUCCAACAGUCUUUCUCUCAUGUUUUUUUCUGAACAUUGUUUAAAGAACUGAUGAAAGGGAUGAAAACUUUUCAAACUUUCCUUUUCUUAGGGUCUCAUCAGCUCAGUCUUUCAUCACACAGUCAAUAAACAGUUGAAAAGGACUCUUCUGAACUGCAGCAGGAGGGAGGAGGAAGAGGGGAAAUUAAUGAUAUCACCAAACUGAAAACUCUUUCAAGUUGCCUUUAAUUGCAGAGGGCAUGGGCAGCGAUUUCAGUUUUUAGCUCUCAGAUCUCUUGCUGUCCCCAGAGGGGUUUGCCCUCCUCUCCUCCUGCACUGCCAGCAUUCCUCCUGGAGUGGCUGAGCCAGGUGGCAGUGGGGCAGGCAGAUGACUCCAGCAUGGGCUCCAACUCAUGUCUCCAACACCAUCACCUCCAGCACUUUCCCUCCUCAUGGCACUCCUGAAGUUGAUGUCCCCCAGGACCCCAACUUCACAUGAGCACCUGAAUUCAAGGCACCCAUGGAGCUGUGCUCCCUAUUUCCAGUCUCUCGUAGAAAAUCUUCAGAGUAGAAAGGAGAGGAUCUGGGAGGGACUCUCUUCUAAACUGCAUUGCCACUGUCUGCUCACCCUAAUGCACCAGGCUGCACCAUCCGUCUUUGUCUCCCAGGAAGCAUCAGUGGGACAGGCUGAAGAUUGCUCUAAGAGCUGUUUCCAUAGCUCGAAAGACCAAAAAUUAUAAUUGCAACAGGUCCAGGAGCAGAAAGAGGAAGUAUAAAGCUUUAAAUUCUAGUCACACUGUGGAAGAAAUAACAGAUGUGCUGCUGUGCUGGAGACGUUUCCAGGCUGAACCCCUCCGCACCCCUCCCAACAUCAGUAUUCUGCUUGUUGUCCCCACCGGCCAGCAUGAACUGCCCUGAUGUCUUCUUGCUGUGAAUUCAUGCCUUCGUGAGGAAUAAAUACUCACGAGGCUUCCAAGAGGGACAUUCCCGAAGCCGGUGCUGUGCAGCAGGCUUAGCGUAUUUUGCCUUUCCUGGCUCAAGCACUCACAGGGCACUGUUCCCCUAUAGAAUCAUCUCUUAGCAUUGCCAGCCUCCACAAUUUUGCACAGAAAUGGGACCAGAAGUGCUGUGCCUGGACACGAGAAGAUCUCUUAAAAAACGUUUUAACCCAUCUGCCAAGCAACUGCUUCAAAUUAUAUUUUGUGAUAAAAGCAAAUGAAGCGUAAUUGAGAAGAGACAAGAGAAUCUUGCCCUGAGAACAGAGCGAUAAGAAACGCGUUGUGACAACGGUGCGAUGUAUAUCGUUACUCUGCAGUGCACCAAACGUCCCCGCUGCCCCAGAGCUGUGACUGUGCUGUGGGGAGGGCAGCUGGCUGCUGUGGUCGUGAAGCUGAAGAUGUGCCUUCCUCCUCCUGUGUGAGACCGCUCCUCUAAGCCUUACACACGUUGCUGGAAGACUUAGGCCAACCAGCUGCCAGGAAUGAGGCAAAAAAGGCACUGAGAUGCUCCUGGAGAUGCUGCUUAAAGAACAAAUGUCAGACAGAGAUGCCUGCUGCAGGUAUGCAAGCUGCCCAACCUGCAGCCUGUUCCAGGUUAUUAGAAAGCACUGAGGGACGUGUGUCUGAACGGCAGAAAACUGAAGAAGUCACGCACUCCGGCUCAGUACUGUGGACCGGGUGCAUGGCAGCACCUUGCAAAGGAGCAGCACGAGGACAAGCAUCACUCUGCGCUGCAGGGAGGGACCUGCCUCCAUCUCCCAUGGGGGUUGACCUUGUGGCUGCCCUGCUCUCUCCAUCGCUGAGCACAGAUCCCAGCCUGGAAGCUGCACUCAUGUCAGCUGGAUGGAGCGGGAGCUGCUGCUGCCUCGGCUGCUCUUCGUUGUGCCUGCAAAGCACCCAACUUCGUGCCAAAGGAAACAGAAGAAGCAAGCCAGCCAUCUGAGUUUCUCUGUCUCUGAUCUCCCAGCGAACCAC